rnacentral:rRNA from 1 species
UACGUAGGCAGCAAGCGUUGUUCGGAAUUACUGGGCGUAAAGAGUGUGUAGGCGGUGCUCUAAGUUUGGUGUGAAAUCUCCCGGCUCAACUGGGAGGGUGCGCCGAAAACUGGAAUGCUUGAACAUGGGAGAGGAAAGCGGAAUUCCUGGUGUAGCGGUGAAAUGCGUAGAUAUCAGGAGGAACACCUGCGGUGUAGACGGCUUUCUGGACCGUAGCUGACGCUGAGACACGAAAGCGUGGGUAGCAAACAGG